UCGAACGGUAACGUGGGGAGGAGCUUGCUCCGCCCCGACGACGAGUGGCGAACGGGUGAGUAAUACAUCGGAACGUGUCCGCUCGUGGGGGACAACCAGCCGAAAGGUUGGCUAAUACCGCAUGAGUUCUACGGAAGAAAGAGGGGGACCCGCAAGGGCCUCUCGCGAGCGGAGCGGCCGAUGACUGAUUAGCCAGUUGGUGAGGUAACGGCUCACCAAAGCAACGAUCAGUAGCUGGUCUGAGAGGACGACCAGCCACACUGGGACUGAGACACGGCCCAGACUCCUACGGGAGGCAGCAGUGGGGAAUUUUGGACAAUGGGCGCAAGCCUGAUCCAGCUAUUCCGCGUGUGGGAUGAAGGCCCUCGGGUUGUAAACCACUUUUGUAGAGAACGAAAAGACACCAUCGAAUAAAUGGUGUUGCUGACGGUACUCUAAGAAUAAGCACCGGCUAACUACGUGCCAGCAGCCGCGGUAAUACGUAGGGUGCGAGCGUUAAUCGGAAUUACUGGGCGUAAAGGGUGCGCAGGCGGUUGAGUAAGACAGAUGUGAAAUCCCCGAGCUUAACUCGGGAAUGGCAUAUGUGACUGCUCGACUAGAGUGUGUCAGAGGGAGGUGGAAUUCCACGUGUAGCAGUGAAAUGCGUAGAUAUGUGGAAGAACACCGAUGGCGAAGGCAGCCUCCUGGGACAUAACUGACGCUCAGGCACGAAAGCGUGGGGAGCA
rnacentral:rRNA from 1 species